rnacentral:rRNA from 1 species
CAGUUGAAAAGCUCGUAGUUGGAUUUCGGAGUGGGCCAGUUGGUCCGCCGCAAGGUGUGUUACUGACUGGUUUGCUCUUCUUCGCAAAGACUGCGUGUGCUCUUGAGUGAGUGUGCGUAGGAUUUACGACGUUUACUUUGAAAAAAUUAGAGUGUUCAAAGCAGGCUAUUGCUUGAAUACAUGAGCAUGGAAUAAUGGAAUAGGGCUUUGGUCCCAUUUUGUUGGUUUCUAGGGCCGAAGUAAUGAUUAAGAGGGACAAUUGGGGGCAUCCGUAUUUCGUUGUCAGAGGUGAAAUUCUUGGAUUUACGAAAGACGAACAACUGCGAAAGCACUUGCCAAGAGUGUUUUCAUUAAUCAAGAACGAAAGUUAGAGGAUCGAAGACGAUCAGAUACCGUCCUAGUUCUAACCAUAAACGAUGUCGACUAGGGAUCAGCGGGCGUUAUCGUACGACCCCGUUGGCACCUUUACGGGAAACCAAAGUUUUUGGAUUCCGGGGGAAGUAUGGUUGCAAAGCUGAAAACUUAAAGGAAUUGACGGAAGGGCACCACCAAGGAGUGGAACCUGUGGCUCAAUUUGACUCAACACGGGAAAACU